rnacentral:misc_RNA from 1 species
ACGACAACGCCUCGGUUACCGUGUAAUCACCUCUUCUUUCGCCCUCCAGAUCGUAUUCGGCAGACAACGCGGGCCGAAUCGUCUUUGCCGUCAGAUUCCGGAUGCGAUGAACGUUUUUUUGUAAGUCUUUGAAUGAAUCGUCCGACCAGGGAUGGCGCAGCUUACCUGUAGCAGUGAAGUGCUCCUUCAGUUCGCUCGGUGUCAGUGCUUGCCAUUCCUGAUUCUCGAGUUGAGGCUUUCUUCCAAAGUCGUGCGUUGGACGAACGAGAAGAACUGUUCUGCCUUCGACCGGGAUUGUGUAGAUCA